CCUACGGGUGGCAGCAGUAGGGAAUCUUCGGCAAUGGGCGAAAGCCUGACCGAGCAACGCCGCGUGAAUGAAGAAGGCCUUCGGGUUGUAAAAUUCUGUUAUAAGGGAAGAAAGGUGAGAGGAGGAAAUGACUAUCAAUUGACGGUACCGGAGGAGAAAGCCACGGCUAACUACGUGCCAGCAGCCGCGGUAAUACGUAGGUGGCAAGCUUUAUCCGGAAUUCUUGGGCGUAAAGAGCGCGCAGGUGGUUAAUUAAGUCUGAUGUGAAAGCCCACGGCUUAACCGUGGAGGGUCAUUGGAAACUUGUUGACUUGCGUGCAGCAGCGGGAAG
rnacentral:rRNA from 1 species